AGAUUUGAGCAGUGGCAGUAUCAUAGCCAAUGAGGUUUAUCCGAGACAUGAUUAUUGCUAAUUGAAAACUAAAACAUCAAUUUUAAUUUUCUUUUGAGUAUAUCUGUCACCUCUAUAACUGUAAUUGUUCA
rnacentral:snRNA from 1 species